UACAGGAAAACUAGCAAUACUUGGCUCUGAGAGCCCAAAUAACUCAGAUAGUGAUAAUUCUGAGCCCGAAACUUAUUAUCAGGAUGGUUUUAAACCACACUAUUUAAAUACCUUUAUUAGUCAUCAAGACAAUCUAGAUAAUGUUAUUUCUAGAUUAGAAAAACUUGAAAUCAUUGGAGAAAAUCCAACUAAAUACUGGGAAAAAGAUAAAGUCUAUUGUAAACUAAAUAUUAUUAAUCCGGACUUAACUAUUAAAGCUCAAGACUUAAAAUAUUCAAACUGGGAAACUGAAGAAUGUAAAAUGCAUAUUACUCAACUCCUGGCUUUAAAAGCUAAACAACGAUCUGAUUCUAGACAUAGAAGUCCAGCUUUUAUUGUUAAUAAAGGAUCUGAACAAAAGAGAGGACAGUCUAGAAUGAUAUUUAAUUAUAAAAGACUUAAUGAUAACUGCCAUGAAGAUGGCUAUAAGAUACCUGAUAAAGAUCAACUUAUAAAUAAAAUACAAAAAUCUAAAUGGUAUUCAAAAUUUGAUAUGAAAUCUGGUUUUUGGCAAGUUAAAAUGCACCCAGAAUCUAUUUUGUGGACAGCCUUUUCUUGUCCAGAAGGUCAUUUUGAGUGGCUAGUUAUGCCUUUUGGUUUAAAAGUAGCCCCUCAAAUCUUUCAAAGAAAAAUGGAUGACAUUUUUAGACCUAUUACAGAAUUUACUUGUGUUUAUAUAGAUGACGUUUUAGUUUUUUCUAAAACAAAAGAUGAACAUUAUGCACACUUACAUAUGGUUUUCAAUUUAUUUGAAAAACAUGGACUUAUUGUAUCUAGGAGAAAAAUGAAACUUGCUGUUCCUUAUAUUGAGUUUUUAGGCAGUCUUAUUGGACAAGGAACAAUAACACUACAAGCUCAUAUUUCUAGUAAACUUUUAGACUUUCCUGAUAAGAUGGAAGAUAUUAAAACCCUGAGAUCUUUCUUAGGAUUAUUGAAUUAUGCUAGGCCAUAUCUUAAAGAUAUUGGAAAAAUUAGUGGCCCAUUAUAUAAUAAAACUUCACAAACAGGGCAACGUUAUUUUAAUCAACAAGAUAUUGAGCUAAUCAAACAAAUCAAAGUAAUGGUACAACAGUUACCUCAGUUAACCUUACCCUUAGAUACAGAUUACUUAGUCAUUGAAACAGAUGGAUGUGAAACAGGAUGGGGAGGAGUCCUAUAUAGUAAACGUUCUAAAUAUGACUCUAAAACAUCUGAAAAAUUGUGCAGAUAUGCUUCUGGUAAAUAUAAAGAAAAAGGAAGACUUACGUCCUUAGAUUUUGAAUUAUUAGCAGUAAUCUAUUGCUUAGAAGCUUUCUUCUUAUUUAUUUGUAAUAAACCCGAAAUUACUAUUAGAACAGAUUGUGAGGCUAUUGUAAAAUAUAGCCAGCAAACAAAAGAAGUUAGAAAAGGUCUAGGAUCUAAAAGAUGGCUUAAAUUUACUGACGCCAUUUUAAAUAAGGGACUUAAAAUCCAUUGGGAACAUAUAAAAGGUAGUGCUAAUUCUCUUGCUGAUACUUUGUCUAGAUUACUUACUUAAUAAUUCUUGACAGUUAUGGAUUUUCAAAAACGCGUACGUACUUAUGGAUACCAAAAGACUAUGAAGUUUGGUAAUCAGGAACUUCCACAGUUUACUCGCAAAGGAGAUACUUUUGAUUUCCCAUACAGAGCUCAACUUGAUAAUGUUCAGCAAUGUUUAAUUGAUAAUAUCUGGAACAUUCCUACUUCUCCAGGAGUAUCUAGUCAGAAGAUAGCCAUCAUCAAUGCUCUCUUUAAUUAUUUCUCCACUACUAUACAAAAACCACUUGGAAAGAAAUUUACUUGUUACGCAAUCCUCUCAGGACCAUAUACUGGUCUUUACUCAACUUGGGAUGAAGUUAAAAGUCUACUUCCAGAAGAAGACAAACCUUCUUAUAAAGGUUUCUAUUCUCUUAAUGAAGCUUAUGACGUAUUAAGAGAAAAAGCAGGCCCUAAUUUCAUUAUCAGUCCAGUACUUCAGUCUAAUAGCAAACUUCAAGAAGAUAAGACUUAUCUAAUGGCUGCUACUUCUUCAGACCAGCAAGCUACAGACCUUUUAUCAGUACCACUUAAACCUCUUAAUUAUCAAUCCUUGGAAAUACUUCAAGGACAAAAGAAGAAAGAUAAUCUCUUUUCUUUAACAGCACUUCCAGAAGAUAUUACUUUAUACUUAAGAAUAUUAGGAGAUACAUCCUCCUACAAAACUUUCUUGGAAUUAUCAGACGCACUUAAUUGGUUUCAUCAAAAUCCUACUACGGGUAUCAUGAUUACUUAUACUGAAGAAUACUCAGAUAAACUUCCUUGUACUAAUCAAUUUCCCCAAUGUACUCAGCCUAUAGAAUUAGGCUGCAGAUGCCAAUUAUUAUAUUCUAUCAGGCAAGCGAAUUUACAACUUGAAAAAUUUCAACAAAGAAAUUAUAGGGGAAGACUCAUUACACCGGAUGCUUUAAUGACUUAUGGUUUAUUACAUCAAAUCUGGAUACAAGAAUUAGAUUCAAUUCCACUAUUAUCACCAACUCUUGGAAGACUUACUCAACACUUACUAGAAGAAAGAGAAACUUUUGUUCUGGCUACUUUUGAUAGCUCACCCCCAGAAUGGCUUCCUACACAAAUCGAACCAGCUAGACAUCUGAUAAAACUUGACGUUCAAGGAAUUAAUAUUCAAUUAACAGCAUUUGAAGAUUAUUCUUCCCAUCCAGACAAGGAAUGGCUCUCUUCAAAAUCAUUGGCUGAACAACUUAAACAUUGGAGAGCUUCUCUUCAAGGAAGUUCUUGGCUAUGGGAUCCAUUUAAUGAUCCUAUAGAAUAUGUGCUAGCAGGCGAAACAUUUACAGAGAAAAUUUACUGGCCUAUUAAAUGUGGCACAGUUCAUUUUCCUUUCCAUUAUACGACUCAGCAUCAAAAUUUAUGCCAAUUCUAUCAAAAGAAGAAUGCUGCAUGGCUAAAACAAAAGACUCCUUCUAUUGCUUCAACUACAACAACACUCCCAAUGGGCUCGGUUGAAGAAGCCAACUUAAUUAAUAUGAUGGAAAUAUAAGUUAUGAUGGAUGCAAUGAUGUCAGCAAGUUCAGAUGACGCAAGCAAUGACUUCAUACAAGAGAUGACAUAUGUGCUGACCUCAGAAUAUAUUCCACGUAGCACUUCUAGUUUGUUCUAUCUUUCUCUAUAAAUAGAUGCCUUCUCUGCUGAAAUAAGGCAUCGAAGAAAGUUGUAAGCAUUUGUAUUCCCAAGUCUCUAAGCUCUUGAUCUGUAUUGAAAGAAUAUGAAGAAAAGGUUAAGAACCUCUCACAGGAACGAGAGCUGUUGCUAAAGCAGAGAGAAUCUGCUCUUCAAGAAACACAUUUGUGGCGUUCUGAGCUUGCAAAGGCUAGGGAACGCGCUGUGGUAUUAGAA